rnacentral:tRNA from 1 species
GAGGGUAUAGCUCAAGCAGUAGAGCACCUGCUUAGCAUGCUCGAGGUCCUGGGUUCAAUCCCCAGCAUCUCCA